UUAAAUAUUGUCGUUUUACGUCGUAUAAUCUGGGGAAUAUGGCCCAAAAGUAUCUACCAAGCUACCGUAAAUGGCUUGACUACGAGGUAAGUGUAAGUUUUG
rnacentral:ncRNA from 2 species